ensembl:snoRNA
ACCCUCCAGAUCCCUUACUCAUCAGAACUAAACAUUGGUCAGAGUGGUUAUAAAAGGUGGAAAAGGAAAAUUGAAACUGACUUCAAUUCUUUUGUGACACACAAGCUAGCCUCACAUGAAA